rnacentral:rRNA from 1 species
GAGUUUGAUCGUGGCUCAGAUUGAACGCUGGCGGCAUGCCUUACACAUGCAAGUCGAGCGGCAGCGCGGGGGCAACCCUGGCGGCGAGCGGCGAACGGGUGAGUAAUGCAUCGGGAACGUGUCCUCUUGUGGGGGAGUAACCAGUCGAAAGACUGGCUAAUACCGCAUGAGCACGGAGAGUGGAAAGCGGGGACCGUAAGGCCUCGCGCGAGAGGAGCGGCCGAUGCCGGAUUAGCUAGUUGGUGGGUAAAGCCUACCAAGGCGACGAUCCGUAGCUGGUCUGAGAGGACGACCAGCCACACUGGGACUGAGACACGGCCCAGACUCCUACGGGAGGCAGCAGUGGGGAAUUUUGGACAAUGGGGGCAACCCGUGAUCCAGCCAUGCCGCGUGUGUGAAGAAGGCCUU